AUGCUCGCUAUGGCAGCACAUAAACUAAAUUUGGAGCGAUGCUGAGAAGAUUAUCAUGGCCCUUGCACAAGGAUGACAUGUAAAUUCCUAAAGCAUUCCAUAUUUUU
rnacentral:snRNA from 1 species